ACUGUCCUUAGAGGCAUAGCAGGUGUGGCUGCUGCAUCACAUGUGCAUUGAUAGGUGGCAGAGAGGAGAACGGCUGUGUCUACACUCAGUGUACUGACCCGCGAACAUCUGAGUGAUCGGUAACCUAACACA
ensembl:snoRNA small nucleolar RNA SNORA17